GACAAUGGUGAACCAGCCCCAAUUGGAUGUGGGAGACCUCUAAGAGCAACAGUGUGAAGAGACCAGCUCCUCUUUCGGCAGCCAUAACAGCCGAACACAUGCUUUUCUGACCUUGUCCUAGACACUAGAAAGUUAGAUGCCUGCCUCGUGACAAGGAACCAAUCAGAGGUUAGCUGGUGGCGCUAUGCUUUACGGCUCUGGGUGUGCUUUAUGGACAAGUGCACAGCAAUGACGCACAGAGCAUAGCAACCACCCCAGGAGGGCCUAUGGGCCAUAACAACCAGUUGGCCAAUCAACACAGGGCAACCCUCCAAGCCUGGAGACACACCAAUCCUGAGCCUGUGCGUACCCCUAGACACUCCCCUUAUGCUGCCCUACAAGAUCUCUUGGGAGCCCCUAGGAGCUGUCUUUUGCAAGCCAUCCGCCAUGGUGGGUGGGUGAAAGACCCGAGCUAACAUGGGGUUAGCUCGUUAAAUUACAAUAAAGCCUCGUGCAGUUUGCAGCAAGCUCUCAAAUCCGCCUGGUGAUUGGGGUGACCGUGGUCAUGGCCUGGGAUCCCGGAUACCUGAGUUUUCCGGGGGUCUAACAAGUGUCAGCAUGUGGCACGGUAUUCACAAAGGCCUGGAGCAUUUAGCGCUGGAGGGCCGAGGGCUGGUGGAAGAGUAUUGCUGGCCAGCCAGGCCUGAAGGUGGCAGAGGACUCUGGGAGCUGAUACAGUUAAGAUGUUUUCUCCUGGGUGACGGGGAGCCAUGAGGAGCCCUCGGCUCAUUUAUCUCACAUAUUACCUGGGCUUCUGCACCCAAACUUCUCUUGAGGAAAAACUGCUUCAGAAGGUUAAUAGACAGAUGGACAGAAGGCAAAUUCGCUCCAGAGAGCACAGCCACCUGGUUCAUCUCGUCGAUUUUCCGAGAGACUUUCACAAGUUAAUGUGCCGUCAACAACAGACUCCGUGGUCUGCAGAGUUCAGCUCCCUGUGGAAGUUCUGGAAAGUUUAUGAAGCACACUCCUCAGUGAGGCAUGGAGUAACAAGUGACUCGGCAACUCUGGAGCCUCCCUGCUUGCACUGUCCAUCAGAGCCAGUUACAGUUACAGUUACAAACAUGUGGUGGAAAUGCCCACCGUGUUCCAUCCUCACGCAGCCUCUCUCCUUGUUACCUAUGAAUGGCUUGCGGCCAUAUCUGUCCCCUGGAGAACAGCCUGGUUCAGCGCAUCCAGGGUGA
rnacentral:lncRNA from 1 species